rnacentral:rRNA from 1 species
UACGGGGGGGCAAGCGUUGUUCGGAAUUACUGGGCGUAAAGGGCUCGUAGGCGGCCAACUAAGUCGGAUGUGAAAUCCCCAGGCUCAACUUGGGAACUGCAUCCGAUACUGGGAUGGCUUGAAUUCGGGAGAAGGGAUGCAGAAUUCCAGGUGUAGCGGUGAAAUGCGUAGAUAUCUGGAGGAAUACCGGUGGCGAAGGCGGCAUCCUGGACCGACAUUGACGCUGAGGAGCGAAAGCUAGGGGAGCAAACGGG